AUUAGAGUUUGAUCCUGGCUCAGGAUGAACGCUGGCGGCGUGCCUAAUACAUGCAAGUCGAGCGAACGGAUAAGGAGCUUGCUCCUUUGAAGUUAGCGGCGGACGGGUGAGUAACACGUGGGUAACCUACCUAUAAGACUGGAAUAACUUCGGGAAACCGGAGCUAAUGCCGGAUAACAUUUGGAACCGCAUGGUUCUAAAGUAAAAGAUGGUUUUGCUAUCACUUAUAGAUGGACCCGCGCCGUAUUAGCUAGUUGGUAAGGUAACGGCUUACCAAGGCAACGAUACGUAGCCGACCUGAGAGGGUGAUCGGCCACACUGGAACUGAGACACGGUCCAGACUCCUACGGGAGGCAGCAGUAGGGAAUCUUCCGCAAUGGACGAAAGUCUGACGGAGCAACGCCGCGUGAGUGAUGAAGGUUUUCGGAUAGUAAAACUCUGUUAUUAGGGAAGAACAAAUGUGUAAGUAACUGUGCACAUCUUGACGGUACCUAAUCAGAAAGCCACGGCUAACUACGUGCCAGCAGCCGCGGUAAUAAU
rnacentral:rRNA from 1 species